CCAGCCCGCUCAGAAACUAAAGGAAUUGACGGGGGCCCGCACAAGCGGUGGAGCAUGUGGUUUAAUUCGAUGAUACGCGAGGAACCUUACCUGGGCUCAAAUGUAUGUUGACGUAUUCUGAAAGGGAUACUUCUUCGGACAAUAUACAAGGUGCUGCAUGGUUGUCGUCAGCUCGUGCCGUGAGGUGUCGGGUUAAGUCCCAUAACGAGCGCAACCCCUAUCAUUAGUUGCCAUCAGGUCAAGCUGGGGACUCUAAUGAAACUGCCUACGCAAGUAGUGAGGAAGGUGGGGAUGACGUCAAAUCAGCACGGCCCUUAUGUCCAGGGCGACACACGUGCUACAAUGGCCGGCACAGCGGGAAGCGGAGGGGCGACCCUGAGCGGAUCCCUUGAAAGCCGGUCCCAGUUCGGAUUGCAGUCUGCAACUCGACUGCAUGAAGUUGGAAUCGCUAGUAAUCGCGGAUCAGCCAAGCCGCGGUGAAUACGUUCCCGGGCCUU
rnacentral:rRNA from 1 species